GUGAGGAAUAUUGCGCAAUGGGCGAAAGCCUGACGCAGCGACGCCGCGUGGAGGAUGAAGGUCUUCGGAUUGUAAACUUCUGUUAAGUGGGAAGAAAGGGCUGCUUUUAAUAGAAGCAGUUAAUGACGGUACCAUUAAAGAAAGUACCGGCUAAACUCGUGCCAGCAGCCGCGGUAAUACGAGUGGUGCAAGCGUUAUUCGGAAUAAUUGGGCGUACAGGGUGUGUAGGCGGUAUGUUAAGUCUGUUGUUAAAGACUCCGGCCUAACCGGAGACAGGCAGCGGAAACGGGCGUACUAGAGGGUGGAAGAGAGAAGUGGAAUUCUCGGUGUAGCGGUAAAAUGCGUAGAUAUCGAGAGGAACACCGAUGGCGAAGGCAGCUUCUUGGUCCAUACCUGACGCUGAAACACGAAAGCGUGGGGAGCAAACAGGAUUAGAAACCCCGGUAGUCC
rnacentral:rRNA from 1 species